GACGAACGCUGGCGGCGUGCUUAACACAUGCAAGUCGAACGGUAAGGCCCUUCGGGGUACACGAGUGGCGAACGGGUGAGUAACACGUGGGUGAUCUGCCCUGCACUUCGGGAUAAGCCUGGGAAACUGGGUCUAAUACCGGAUAGGACUCCUGCCUGCAUGGGUGGGGGUGGAAAGCUUUUGCGGUGUGGGAUGGGCCCGCGGCCUAUCAGCUUGUUGGUGGGGUGAUGGCCUACCAAGGCGACGACGGGUAGCCGGCCUGGGAGGGUGACCGGCCACACUGGGACUGAGGUACGGCCCAGACUCCUACGGGAGGCAGCAGUGGGGAAUAUUGCACAAUGGGCGAAAGCCUGAUGCAGCGACGCCGCGUGAGGGAUGACGGCCUUCGGGUUGUAAACCUCUUUCAGCACAGACGAAGCGCAAGUGACGGUAUGUGCAGAAGAAGGACCGGCCAACUACGUGCCAGCCGCCGCAGUAA
rnacentral:rRNA from 1 species